UUUGAUUAUGGUUUCUCCUUUUUGCUAGCUGUUAAAUUGUUUGUUGCAUGUGGUUUGUGCAUUUUAUAAAUUUUUAGGGUUUUCACUUCAUUCUUUGGAAUUUCCUGUUAAUUUGAUUAUGGUUUCUCCUUUUGCUAGCUGUUGCCACUCUCGCCUUCCUGCCUCGAUCUUCUCUGUAGGUGUUGUGAUCCCGAUUCUUCCAUCUCCACCGUGUGACCUAUCUUUCUGUCCUUUUUCUCGGUUUCUCUCUGCACGGUGUUGGUGUCACUCUGAAAUCCUGAUCUUCAACCCAGUUUUCUUUAUCCCCAUCCAGUUCGUGUUUUUGGAUCCUUUCUUGGAUUAUCCCAUCAGUGAACUCGAGAUUU